CCACUGAGACACAACAGAUAAUAAAAAUGUUCUCUUUCUCUGCUUCUAAAAUCUCUCCGUAAAUUCACUCACACGCACGAUCACAGAGGCUCUGAGGACUCUGAUCAGCAACACCUCUGAGCAAAGCAAGUGCAGAAGUUUAAUUUCAGAAGCGACAAGAUUAUAGGAACCAGUUUUUACUCUAAAAAACUUGGUUAUUUCUUGUUCAAGCUCUCAACUUUUCGUUGGAUUCUUCAGACUGCGGAGUACUGUGAAUUUGAGGUGUGGGUAAUAUUGUCAUGCUGAAUGUUGCUGCCGGUAGGUGGAUUAGGGAUGAAUUCCACUAUGGAUGAUAUGAACUUGAUUCAGCAGGCACAAAGGCACCACCUGGUUGUCAGAGAGCUUGGAGAGGAGAUUGAUCUGGAAAUUGGACCAGGGGAUGAUGACCCAUCAUUUGCUAAUACUCCUCUCAUAGGGGGCCCUCGUGAGCCGACUGCUGACGAGCAUGAUGAUACCAAGCAGAUGGGGAUGGUUUCUCAACUCCCCAGUGAUGAUCAAGAUAUGUCAAAGACGCAACCAGCAAAAAGGAAGAAAAAAGUUGUGAAAAGGUGGAGGGAAGAAUGGGCUGAUACCUACAAGUGGGCAUAUGUUGAUGUGAAAGAAGGAACACCAAGGAUAUUCUGCUCCAUUUGCAGAGAGUAUGGUAGGAAGCAUAGAAGGAAUCCUUAUGGGAAUGAGGGUAGUAGGAAUAUGCAGAUGAGUGCACUUGAAGAACACAACAACAGUUUGCUUCACAAAGAGGCUCUUCGUCUUCAGAUGGCAUCCAAGGAUAAAAUUAUUGUUGACAAACCCAUUUAUGUAAAAGCUCUUAUGUCAAAAACGGCUGGAUCAAUUGUCGAAGCUGCAUUGAAAAGGGAUCCUCAUGAGGUCGAGUUCAUACAAUCUGUGCAAGAAGCUGUUCAUGCUUUAGAAAGAGUGAUUGCAAAAAAUUCCCAUUACGUCAACAUCAUGGAGCGGUUGUUAGAGCCAGAGCGUAUGAUUGUUUUCCGAGUUCCAUGGGUGGAUGACAGGGGUGAGACUCAUGUUAGUCGAGGCUUUCGGGUACAAUUUAACCAGGCAUUGGGUCCAUGCAGGGGUGGUAUCCGCUUUCAUCCUUUAAUGAACUUAAGCAUUGCCAAAUUUCUUGGUUUUGAGCAGACAUUAAAGAAUGCUUUAUCACCAUACAAACUUGGAGGGGCAGCAGGCGGAAGUGAUUUUGAUCCUAAAGGAAAAAGUGAUAAUGAGAUCAUGCGCUUUUGCCAAAGUUUCAUGAAUGAGAUCUAUAGAUAUCUGGGUCCCGACAAGGAUCUUCCAUCAGAAGAGAUGGGUGUUGGCACCCGCGAGAUGGGGUAUCUCUUUGGGCAAUAUAGACGUCUUGCUGGUCAUUUUCAGGGAAGUUUUACAGGGCCAAGGAUAUUUUGGUCUGGUUCUAGCCUUCGAACUGAAGCUACUGGCUAUGGGCUGGUUUUCUUUGCCCAGCUUAUUCUUGCAGAUAUGAAUAAGGAGCUCAAGGGACUGAGAUGUGCUGUAAGUGGUUCUGGAAAGAUUGCAAUGCAUGUUCUAGAAAAGCUUAUUGCCUAUGGUGCUGUCCCCAUUACAGUGUCAGAUUCAAAAGGAUAUUUGGUGGAUGAGGAUGGAUUUGAUUACAUGAAAAUAACAUUUUUGAGGGAUAUCAAAGCUCAGCAGAGAAGUUUGAGAGACUACUCAAAGACUUAUGCUCGGUCUAAGUACUAUGAUGAAGCAAAACCAUGGAGUGAAAGGUGUGAUGUUGCAUUUCCUUGUGCUUCCCAGAAUGAAAUAGAUCAGUCUGAUGCCAUUAAUUUGGUUAAUUCAGGUUGUCGUAUACUUGUAGAAGGUUCGAAUAUGCCAUGUAUCCCUGAGGCGGUUGAUGUUCUGAGAAAAGCUAAUGUUCUUAUUGCUCCUGCCAUGGCUGCUGGUGCUGGAGGGGUUGUUGCUGGUGAACUCGAAUUAAAUCAUGAGUGCAAUUUGAUGCAUUGGUCACCUGAGGACUUCGAAUCUAAAUUACAGGAGAAGGUAUUUGAUUUGUCAAUUGCAUUGGUGUUUGUGAUAUGAAAGAGAGAAAAUAGGCAGAGCAAGUGACCAACUGAUUAUGUUAGUUAGCUCUUCCAUUCUCCCCAAAUUCAGUGAGCAAAAUCCUCUUACAGCUCAUAAAGUAAUGAAAGUUAAACACUAUAUCAAAUGUCAAGCUUUGUAGAAUUAGUUCUUUUAUCUACAAGAUCACAGUUGUCGAAAAGAGCUUGCACAGGAUGUUCUCCGUUAUUCCAAUGUUAUCAUCAAAAAUUUUGAUGAGCCCUGAAGACAAUGGAGAGAAUAUAAAUUUUGAAACAUAAAUUAAGGCAUCGCGCUAUGAAUUUUGUUCAAAAGGGAGCAUAUAUAAUCAUCAGGAUGUUGCAUAAAUUGUGUCAUGAAACCAAUAGGUGGUUGAAUUUUGGUCAAAUUUGGCAACUCUUUAUUAAGGGCAGAAUGUUGUUUUUCCUUUGUAAACUUACUGAAGCCUUGAGAUUAUCUUGUUUCAUACACAAGAAGGGGCGAGUUAGAAACAUAACAUAGAUCGUGCAGAGAAACAUAUGGAUUUUUUGCUCUUAUAUUAGAACAGUUUCUCUAGGAUUGACUCUGGUUUGAGGUAGAGUUUGCUUUCAAUCCUAAACUUAUUGGAAGGCGUGUGAGAGUGUUCUGUAAUUCUUGUACCAUCUCAUAUAGUGAACCCAACAUCAUCACCCGUGGAUGUAGGCAUAUUGGCCGAACCACGUAAA